ACGACCGUGGACGCCCCAGCUCUGACUACGGAUCAGAAGGUUGGGGGUUCGAAUCCCUCCGGGCGCA
rnacentral:tRNA from 1 species